UGCUCCCUGCGGUGUUUGUUAAGGCCAUAAUUCCUUGAACCAAUGCUGAUUGGCAUCGGUUGCUGACCACGAUGUCGCUGUUGUGCGCGUUCCCCGCGAACGCACCUGAUGCGAAAGGGAGGCAGCCACUCUGAACUCCGGUUCAGGAUGCCGGCCUGACGGCACCCGCGGGGACUUU
rnacentral:other from 1 species